GCGCUCCCGCCGCCAUCUCGCUGAGGGGAGGGUGGGCCCCGGCCGUGAGGGGGAAGAUUCCUGUCCCAUACCCCACCUAACGCUGUCCUCUGGCAGUGGGAAGCCAUUCCCUCUUGUCCUGUCAUUCCAUCCCUUGUCCCGGGUCUCUCUCCGGUUUUCCUGGAGCCCUUUUAGGCACUGGAAGGGAAGUCUCCGCGGAGCCUUCUCCAGCAACUCCAUAUCCUUCCUGUGCUGAGGACUCCGGACCCAGGCACGUCUCCAGGUGAGGUCUCAUGCGAGCAGAAAGGGAGAAUAACGAGGGGUGUGUGUGGAGAUGAGCUCACACCAUCCCACAGUGGUCACAGCAACAACCCUGCCAGAGCUCAAGGAGUGGUUGGACAAUGAUCUCAGGUACUGGGUGGGGUUGUUGGGUGUCCUGUGCAGGACCAGGAGUUGAACCUGAUGGGACCCUUUCAGCUCACGAUAUUCCACGUUUCUAUGACUCUCCUCAAACUGGCACCUGCCCCUGAGGAGGAGGAACCUUCUCAGGUCGGGGCUGGAAGAGCCGCAGCUCCCAAACACAAUCAAAUCCUGCUCAUCCCAGGGUGGAUCAGCCCUUCACGAGGGACUCACUCACCCUAUCACUGCACUGUAUUGUUUGAUUUUUUAUGUGACUUCUUAUACACCUGUGAACCACACCUUGAGCAAAUACUCCCCAAACUGUACUCACUAAUGAGGUACAAGGGGAUCACCCAGCCAAGUGACACUGGAAGUCUUCCUCACCUCUCAGCUUCCCCCUCUCCCAGCAGCUCUGAAAAUCUGUGCAGUGCUUGGUGAAUCUUGGGGGGGCUUUGCAGCUCAGGGUGAGUGGCCCCUGUUUUUCAGGCCAUGUGCUGGGCAGUUGUCACCAUCUAGUGACAGUCCUUGGUGCAGUGGCUCUAUGGAGAAAAUGAUGCCAACACUGCCAACUUAGGGGUAUCAGAGUGGCUGAGCAGCUGGUUCUGGGGCAUUGGGGUGUGUGGCACCAAGAGUGGUGGAGGAGAGGGAUGUGGGAGAUUGGCUGGAGAACAUUUUGCACCUUCAGAGCCUCCUUUCAGGUUCUCUCUAAGGCCCAGCUGCCCCUUUGCCUGAUGGUAUUGAAAUAACAUCACAUUUACUGCUGCUUUGUCUUUUCCUGCCUGCUUAUCACUUCCAGCUGUGGAGUGUCCCCUUAUCUGAGCAGGCAUUUCAGGAAGCUGCAGUGCUAUUUCUGAUCAGCAAUAUUUCUUGAAAUGUUCUGCUGUCUCAGACUGAGGAGACCAGCCUGACACUGCUCAAAAACAACCAACCCCCAGACCAUCAAAUGUCAGAGCUCCCAAGGCUGCAGCCCACAGAGUCAGAGCACUUUUCCUAAAGACCUUUACAGCACGACUUGGCAUCAAAAGCCACCAAGUUACUCAAGGCUUGCAACAUCUACUUUAUAAAUAUAUAUUCAGAAUAAAAACAAAAUGUAUUUAUUUAUAAAUAAAUAUUCUGAGUUUCCCAUCACAA